UUUCCGGUUGAUCCCGCCGAACCUGACUGCUAUCGGAUUGAUACUAAGCCAUGCGAGUCUUUGCAGUAAUGCAAGGCAUACGGCUCAGUAACACGUAGUCAACUUACCCUAUGGACGAGGAUAAUCUCGGGAAACUGAGCAUAAUACUCGAUAGAUCAUAAUGCCUGGAAUGGUUUAUGGUUGAAAUGAUUCGUCGCCAUAGGAUGGGACUGCGGCCUAUCAGCUUGUUGGUGAGGUAAUGGCCCACCAAGGCGAUUACAGGUACGGGCUCUGAGAGGAGAAGCCCGGAGAUGGGUACUGAGACAAGGACCCAGGCCCUAUGGGGCGCAGCAGGCGAGAAAACUUUGCAAUGUGCGAAAGCACGACAAGGUUAAUCCGAGUGAUUUCUGCUAAAGGAAUCUUUUGCAAGUCAUAAAACCACUAGUGAAUAAGGGGUGGGCAAGUUCUGGUGUCAGCCGCCGCGGUAAAACCAGCACCUCAAGUGGUCAGGAGGAUUAUUGGGCCUAAAGCAUCCGUAGCCGGCUCUGUAAGUUUUCGGUUAAAUCCAUGUGCUCAACGCAUGGGCUGCCGAAAAUACUGCAUGGCUAGGGAGUGGGAGAGGUAGACGGUACUCAGUAGGAAGGGGUAAAAUCCUUUGAUCUAUUGAUGACCACCUGUGGCGAAGGCGGUCUACCAGAACACGUUCGACGGUGAGGGAUGAAAGCUGGGGGAGCAAACCGGAUUAGAUACCCGGGUAGUCCCAGCUGUAAACGAUGCAGACUCGAUG
rnacentral:rRNA from 1 species